rnacentral:rRNA from 1 species
UACGGAGGGUGCAAGCGUUAUCCGGAUUCACUGGGUUUAAAGGGCGCGUAGGCGGGAUGGCAAGUCGGUCGUGAAAUCCCUGGGCUCAACUCAGGGGGGUCGGCCGAUACUGCCAUUCUUGAGGGAUGCAGAGGAGACUGGAAUUCCCGGUGUAGCGGUGAAAUGUGUAGAGAUCGGGAGGAACACCGGUGGCGAAGGCGGGUCUCUGGGCAUUCCCUGACGCUGAGGCGCGAAAGCGUGGGGAGCAAACGGG